CUAACACAUGCAAGUCGAACGGAGUGAAGGAGCUUGCUCUUUCAUUUAGUGGCGCACGGGUGAGUAACGCGUAGAUAAUCUGCCUUGGACUCUGGGAUAACAUCUCGAAAGGGGUGCUAAUACCGGAUAAGCCCACGAUGGCGUAAGUCAUUGCGGGAAAAGGGGGCCUCUGAAUAUGCUCCUGAUUCAAGAUGAGUCUGCGUACCAUUAGCUAGUUGGUAGGGUAAGAGCCUACCAAGGCGACGAUGGUUAGCUGGUCUGAGAGGAUGAUCAGCCACACUGGAACUGAGACACGGUCCAGACUCCUACGGGAGGCAGCAGUGGGGAAUAUUGCACAAUGGGGGAAACCCUGAUGCAGCAACGCCGCGUGAAUGAUGAAGGCCUUCGGGUCGUAAAGUUCUUUGAUUGGGGACGAUAAUGACGGUACCCAAAAAACAAGCCACGGCUAACUACGUGCCAGCAGCCGCGGUAAU
rnacentral:rRNA from 1 species